AGAAAAAUGAUUUGGUCCAAUUUUGCAACAAUUAUUUGGGAGGUCCUUCACAAAAAAACCUCCUUUCGGGCACUCGAAAAAUGGAAAAUGGUUUUUUCGUCCAAAGAAAAUGAAAACUUCCUUAGGCAACAUUGUUUGCCAUUCCAAUAUGCACCCUUGUGCACAAUAUGAGAUCAUUUGAACAAACUAUGCCAUGAAUGUGGCCAUAAGAUUGAUCAUUUGGCUUGAAAGCCAUUCAUCUCCACACGUGAUAGCUCGUUUCUGAGAACACUUUUUUAAAAUAAUUGCCGUACUACAAGUUUGUUAUUUUUCCAGGGAACUUGGCCACAUAUGAUGACACAAUGCGAAGGUUUCCCAAUUUUUUGAUUUUUUGAAUUUUUUAUGCACGUUUCAAAAUGCGGUCAAAACGGCGGGAAUGACCGUUCCUAGCUAGUGGUUGAAUCUUGGAAUUUUUUGGUGUUUCUCUGAUUAAAUAGAUACUUAUGUACCUAGAAAUGAUUUUUGGAAAAAAAUAAAGAGCAAACUACAAGGCAGCUACAGUUGAAAUUUGACCGGCUUCUUGCUGAAUCGAUGGAAAUUUGUCUUUUCAUGAGAGGUGGAUCAAAGCUUCUCACACCAAACCAUUUGGUCAAUAGUGCAUUAAAUAUGUCCUAGUAUUUUAGAAAAUUGAUUUGGUACAAUUUUGCAACAAAUAUUUGGUAGGUCCUUCACAAAAAAGCUUAUUUCGGACACUUGAAAAAUGGAAAAUGGAUUUUUCGUCCACAGAAAAUGAAAACUUCCUUAGGGAACAUUGUUUGCCAUUCCAAUAUGCACCCUUGUGAAAAAUUUGAGAUCAUUUGAACAAACUAUGCCAUGAAUGUGGCCAUAAGAUUGAUCAUUUGGCUUCAAAGCCAUUCAUCUCCACACGUGAUAGCUCGUUUCUGAGAACACUUUUUUGAAAAUAAUUGCCGUAUUACAAGUUUGUUAUUUUUCCUGGGAACUUGGCCACAUAUGAUGACACAAAUGCUAAGGUUUCCCAAUUUUUUGAUUUUUUUUGAAUUUGUUAUGCCCGUUUCAAAAUGCAGUCAAAACGGCGGGAAUGACCGUUCCUAGCUAGUGGUGGAAUCUUGGAAUUUUUUGGUGUUUCUCUGAUUCAAUAGAUACUUAUGUACCUAGAAAUUAUUUUUGUAAAAAAUAAAUAACAAACUAUGAGGCAGCUAUAGUUCAAAUUUGACCCGCUUCCCGCUGAAUCGGCGGAAAUUUGUCUUUUUCAAGAGAGGUGGAUCAAAACUUUUUACACCCAACCAUUUGGUCAAUUGUGCAUUAAAUAUGGCCUAGUAUUUUAGAAAAAUGAUUUGGUCCAAUUUUGCAACAAUUAUUUGUGAGGUCCUUCACAAAAAAACCUCCUUCCGGGCACUCGAAAAAUAGAAAAUGGUUUUUUCGUCCAAAGAAAAUGAAAACUUCCUUAGGCAACAUUGUUUGCCAUUCCAAUAUGCACCCUUGUGCACAAUAUGAGAUCAUUUGAACAAACUAUGCCAUGAAUGUGGCCAUAAGAUUGAUCAUUUGGCUUGAAAGCCAUUCAUCUCCACACGUGAUAGCUCGUUUCUGAGAACACUUUUUUAAAAUAAUUGCCGUACUAGAAGUUUGUUAUUUUUCCAGGGAACUUGGCCACAUAUGAUGACACAAUGCGAAGGUUUCCCAAUUUUUUGAUUUUUUGAAUUUUUUAUGCACGUUUCAAAAUGCGGUCAAAACGGCGGGAAUGACCGUUCCUAGCUAGUGGUUGAAUCUUGGAAUUUUUUGGUGUUUUUCUGAUUAAAUAGAUACUUAUGUACCUAGAAAUGAUUUUUGGAAAAAAAUAAAGAGCAAACUAUGAGGCAGCUACAGUUGAAAUUUGACCGGCUUCUUGCUGAAUCGAUGGAAAUUUGUCUUUUCAUGAGAG
rnacentral:lncRNA from 1 species